AAACCGCCCCCUAAGUUUUGCAACUGUAGCAGUUUUGGCCCCCUAAGGCAAAAAAAAAAUAAAAAAAUAACACGUAGCGUCUCACUUAGGGUGCCACGUCAGCGUAGACUGAGUCAAAAUUGACCUUGGGGGCCAAAACUGUCACAGAUGCAAAACUUAGAGGGCAGUUU
rnacentral:pre_miRNA from 1 species